UGGGGAAUUUUGGACAAUGGGCGAAAGCCUGAUCCAGCAAUGCCGCGUGUGUGAAGAAGGCCUUCGGGUUGUAAAGCACUUUUGUCCGGAAAGAAAUCCUUGGCUCUAAUACAGUCGGGGGAUGACGGUACCGGAAGAAUAAGCACCGGCUAACUACGUGCCAGCAGCCGCGGUAAUACGUAGGGUGCAAGCGUUAAUCGGAAUUACUGGGCGUAAAGCGUGCGCAGGCGGUUUGCUAAGACCGAUGUGAAAUCCCCGGGCUCAACCUGGGAACUGCAUUGGUGACUGGCAGGCUAGAGUAUGGCAGAGGGGGGUAGAAUUCCACGUGUAGCAGUGAAAUGCGUAGAGAUGUGGAGGAAUACCGAUGGCGAAGGCAGCCCCCUGGGCCAAAUACUGACGCUCAUGCACGAAAGCGU
rnacentral:rRNA from 1 species